AUUGAACGCUGGCGGCAUGCCUUACACAUGCAAGUCGAACGGCAGCAUGGAAGAGCUUGCUCUUCUGAUGGCGAGUGGCGAACGGGUGAGUAAAGCAUCGGAACGUACCGUGUAAUGGGGGAUAACGUAGCGAAAGUUACGCUAAUACCGCAUACGACCUGAGGGUGAAAGCAGGGGAUCGCAAGACCUUGCGUUAUACGAGCGGCCGAUGUCAGAUGAGCUAGUUGGUAGGGGAAAGGCCUACCAAGGCGACGAUCUGUAGCGGGUCUGAGAGGAUGAUCCGCCACACUGGGACUGAGACACGGCCCAGACUCCUACGGGAGGCAGCAGUGGGGAAUUUUGGACAAUGGGGGAAACCCUGAUCCAGCCAUGCCGCGUGAGUGAAGAAGGCCUUCGGGUUGUAAAGCUCUUUCGGCCGGGAAGAAAUCGCACAGGCUAAUACUCUGUGUGGAUGACGGUACCGGCAUAAGAAGCACCGGCUAACUACGUGCCAGCAGCCGCGGUAA
rnacentral:rRNA from 1 species